AGAGCGAACGUUAGCGGCGGGCCUAACACAUGCAAGUCGAACGAGAACGCUCCUUCGGGAGUUAUUAAAGUGGCGCACGGGUGAGGAACGCGUAGGUAAUCUACCCUUUGGCGGGGGACAACAUUCCGAAAGGAAUGCUAAUACCGCGUAAGACCACACUCACUACGGUGAGAGCGGUUAAAGGUGCCUCAAAGCACCACCAGAGGAUGAGCCUGCGUCCCAUCAGCUUGUUGGUAAGGUAAUGGCUUACCAAGGCGAAGACGGGUAGCUGGUCUGAGAGGAUGAUCAGCCACACUGGCACUGGAACACGGGCCAGACUCCUACGGGAGGCAGCAGUGAGGAAUAUUGGGCAAUGGGCGAAAGCCUGACCCAGCCACGCCGCGUGUGUGAUGAAGGCCUUCGGGUCGUAAAGCACUGUGGGGAGAGACGAAAAAGCGCAUCAGGAAAUGGUUGCGCCUUGACGGUACCUCCUUAGCAAGCACCGGCUAACUCUGUGCCAGCAGCCGCGGUAAUACAGAGGGUGCGAACGUUGCUCGGAUUUACUGGGCGUAAAGCGCGUGUAGGCGGACUCGCAAGUCGGUUGUGAAAUCCCUGGGCUCAACCUAGGAACUGCAUCCGAAACUGCUUGUCUUGAGUAAUGGAGAGGGUGGCGGAAUUCCCGGUGUAGAGGUGAAAUUCGUAGAUAUCGGGAGGAACAUCAGUGGCGAAGGCGGCCACCUGGACAUUUACUGACGCUGAGACGCGAAAGCGUGGGGAGCAAACAGGAUUAGAUACCCUGGUAGUCCACGCCGUAAACGAUGAGAACUAGGUGCAGCGGAUAUUGACCUCUGCUGUGCCGUAGCUAACGCGUUAAGUUCUCCGCCUGGGGAGUACGGCCGCAAGGCUA
rnacentral:rRNA from 1 species